GCAGCCGCAACCCUCUAGGUCCCCUUCCAUGCUGUGGAAGCUUUGUUCUUUUGCCCUUUGCAAUCAAUCUUGCUGCUGCUUACUCUUUGGGGCCGCAGUACCUUUGUAAGCUGUAACACUCACCGCAAAGGUCUGCGGUUUCACUCCUGAAGCCAGUGAGACCACGAACCCACUGGGAGGAACGAACAACUCUGGACACACAGCCUUUAAGAGCUGUAACGCUCACUGCGAAGGUGUGCGGCUUCACUCCUGCAGUCAUCAAGACCACGAACCCACCAGAAGGAAGAAACUCUGGACACAUCUGAACAUCUGAAGGAACAAACUCCGGACACACCAUCUUUAAGAACUUUAACACUCACCGCAAGGGUCCACAGCGUCAUUCUUGAAGUCAGUGAGACCAAGAACCCACUGGAAGGAACUAAUUCUGGACACACUGUGAUCACAUCACUGUACUUCAGCCUGGGUGACACAGUGAGACCCUGUCUCUAAUUAAAAACAAAAAUUAGAAUAUUGCUCCUGUGCAAUAUCAAAUGCUUAGUGGAUCUAGGUGAUGAUUGUCAAUGACUGCUAAUAAUACAUGAAGAAACAACCACAUAUUAUAUACUACUAAUCUAUGGAAAUAAGGGAGGGAGAAAUACAUUGAGAAACACUGCAGGAAUGCUAUCAGAAAAGUCCAGAAUAUAAGAAAUUCUAUAUCAAAUAACAUUUUUCAACAAAAGAAACUGAGAGAAAAGAAAAAGAAAUGAAAGCACAAUUUGCAGGUUAAAAGAGUUCAUGUUAUACUGGUGAUUCUUUCGUCUGUCUCAGAGAUGACAGCCUGCUAUACACCUUGUUGACCAAAAGCAACAUCAGGACACAGCGUUCAUCCCACUAAGAAGAAGAUGAAAAAGGGGAUAGCAUGCAGCCACAAGGAACAAUCUCAAAAGCAGAGAGAAGCCCUCACCAGACAACCACACCUGCAGACACCUUGAUCUUGAACUUCUCAGUGUCUAGAACUGUGAAAAAUAAAACUGUGGUCUUUAUAAAUUACCUGGUCUAAGGUACAAUCACAUGUCACUUAACAAUGUAGGGAUGGCCGGGCGUGGUGGCUCAUGCCUGUGAUAGCCCAGCACUUUGGGAGGCCAAAGCGGGCAGAUCACCUGAGGUCGGGAGUUCAAGACCAGCCUGGCCAACAUGGCGAAACUCUAUCUCUACUAAAGAUAUGAAAAUACAGUUGGCCGGGCUGGUGGCACAUGCCUGUAACCCCAGCUACUCAGGCUGAGGCAGGAGAAUCACUUGAACAUGGGAGGCGGAGGUUGCAGUGAGCCAAGAUCGCACCACUGCACUCCAGCCUCGGCAACAGAGUGAGACUCUGUUUCAAAAAAAAAAAAAAAAAGACAGUGUGGGGAUACAUUCUGAGAAAUGCGUUGUUAGGUGAUUUCCUUGUUGUGUGAACAUCACAGAGUGCACUUACACAAACCUAAAUGCUGUAACCUACUACACACCUGGGCUCGAUGGCAAAGCCUAUUCCUCCUGGGCUACAAAUCUGGACAGUAUCUUACUAUACUGAGUACCAUAGGCAACUGUACCACAAUGGUAAGUAUUUGUGUAUCUAAACACAGAAAAGAUACAGUAAAACUGAGGUAUGAGAGAGAAAAAAAUAGUACACCUUUACAGGUGUACAGACACUUACCACGAAUGGAGCUUGCAGGCCUGGAAGUUGCUCUGGGUGAGACAGUGAGUGAGUGGUGAGCGAAGCUGAAGGCCUAGGACAUUACUGCACACUACUGUAGACUUUGUAAACACUGUAGGCUUUGUAAACAUGCUACACUUAGGCUACACUGAAUUUAUUUUUAUAAAAAUAAAGUAAUUGCACUACGACAUUAUGAUGGCUAUGACAUCGCUAGGUGAUAGGAAUUUUUCAGUUCCAUUAUAAUCUUAUAGGACUACAGUCACAUACGCAGUCUGUUGACCAAAACAUUAUGCAUCUCAUGAUCGUAUUUUAUUACAGCAGAAGAAAUGGACUAAGACACUCCUGCCGCAGGGAUACCUACUAUGUCAGCAGAGCCAGCAGCACCUUGUCUAUGUCUGAGAGAGACUCCAUUGUGGCCUCCUCACCAGUUCACUAGGUGUCUCCUCCAGGAUCCUACAGACUAAAUCCAAUGAUGGGUGAAGUUCCCACAGACAGCCUUAAGAGGGGAAGUACUGGCCAGCAGCAGACAGCCACAACCUCAGAGAGCCAGGUGGGACCAGAUGUUUGCCUACUGGGUGCCGGAUCUACUAUCAUGGUCCAGGGACCCUCAAGGGUAGGGGCCACACACAAGAGCCCCAGUGGCCUACCUGGUGGUUUGGCAGGUAGAAGAGUCCUAGACAGUGCCCAAUGGGCCUCUUCAAGGACAGGCCAAAUCCAUGUUCAAGAUAUAGGCCAGCCCUCUAAGAAAAGAGGAAGAGGAAAUCCAAAAAAAAAAAAAAGAGGCCAAAAAUUCAAGACUUUGGAGGCACCAAUUUGUCUGGCAAUAACCAAUCUGAAAGUAAUACUGGAAUGGGGUGCUAGGGAUCUGCUGAGGUGCCAGGCAUUACUUCUUCUGUUGCUGGACUAGAGAGGAGGUCUAGAAUCCCUUCCCCCUUGGCCCUGGAGAAGGAACAAGGAUGGCCAUGUAAGUAGAGGACAUUGGCUACCUACCAAUCAGUAGGUGAGUUUUAUACUUUAAUAUAUGGUUAAAUACCAGAUCUGCCCUGGAACAUUGUAAGUGUUCAACAAACAUUAGUUAUUAUGAUAUAUGCUAUGAUCAUAAUAUGAACUUUAUGAUGAUUUUUUUUUUGCAGUGUGUUGUUAUUUUAAAUAGGCAGGCUAAGCAACUACUGUCAUCUCCUUUAACAAAUGAAGAAAUUGAGGCCAAUGAGGUUAAAUAACUCAAAUUCACAGUUAAAUACAUCUGUGUCUUCUUUUUUUAAGACUAGGUCUCACUCUGUCACCCAAGAUAGAGUGAAUAGUGCCAUCGUAGCUCACUACAGCCUUGAACCCCUGGGCCCAGGUGAUUCUCCCACCUCAUCACUCCCCUAACCCCAAGAACCUAGGACUGCAAGUGAAUAUUGACAUACCCAGCUAAUUUUUAAUUUUUUCUUAGGGACAGAGUCUCACUGUUUCCCAGGCUGAUCUUGAACUCCUGGCCUCAAAUGAUUCUCCCACUGUGGCCUACCAAAGUUCAUGGAUUACAGGUGUGAGCCACCAUGCCCAGCCCAUGUCUUUUCAUGUAUGUUUCAAUGCACCUUUCCAUCUACCCUCAUGUAGAUGAAGGAUUAAAAUGAUGGGGAAGUACAGAUGUGAAAGGGUGGAUAGAGGGAUACAGCUGAAAAAAUAACAAGCUUGAAAUAUAUGUAUAUCUAAACCAGAUUCAAGAAGUAGAAAGCAACUAAAAAUAGAGGAAUACAAUCAGAUAUGGCAAGGUUCAAUGUGCAGGAGAAAUUGAGAGAACCUAUGGUUUCAUGAAAGAUAUAUCAAAUUUUCUUAACCUUGUAAGUUAUAUAUCCACAAGUCAAAAAAAAUUCAACAUUUUGUGAGAAAUCCUAGUUUAAAGCCAAUGACAUAAUGUGAUUUCUAUUGUUUCCUUUUACUUUCAAAAGUGUUCUAAUUUGGGUAAUAAAUUAUAUGCUUACUCUUUAUACUUAAAUUGAUGAUAUGUGGUCUCAUGGAAGGUGGACCAUUUUUUGAAAGCCCUUUAUCAUCAGACUGACUGUGGUUCUAAAAUACUAACAAUUCAGAGAAUAAAAUAGUCUGAAGAUGGGUGGGAAAGACCACAAGUAUAGACAGAGGGCUACUGGAGUUCACAGGAGAGAAAACCUUUGAGAUGGUUGGGAAAUGAAUCUGUACAUCCCUAUAAGCAAUAAAAGGACACCACUGACAUGAAUAGUUCAGUCCUUAAGCAGAACAUCACCUCACUCUGAGGACAAAGGAGGUCACUGGCACUCUUGUCCUUUUCCUAUUUUCUCUCCCUGUGAGAACAUCAAAGGAUUAGGAGCUGAGAAAUUUUGCAAGCGAUCUGAGAUGAUAAUAAAAGGGUUAAAAAGAGGCUCUUUGUGAUGAAAGAGGAGCCAAGAAGAAGGAGAAAACUUCUUUAGCACAAUAAAAAAGAGUUAUGUUUUAUAAGAAGUAGAAUCAAUGUUAUACAAUAAAAUCAAUAUACUAUUUUCAGAUGAACAUAAGCUGCACUGUCUUUGGAAUAAAAUUAGUUGUUCUUGUACAGAACAAUUGUCAAUUUAGGGCUACACUGCAUCCAUUACUUUUUCCCACAGGCUUUUCAUUUUUC
rnacentral:lncRNA from 1 species